rnacentral:rRNA from 1 species
GACGAACGCUGGCGGCGUGCCUAAUACAUGCAAGUCGAACGCAGUGGGGACGGGUGAGUAACACGUGGGUAACCUCCCAUCAGAGGGGGUAACACUUGGAAACCGGUUCUAAACCGCUAAUGAUGGAUGGACCCGCGGUGCAUUAGCUAGUUGGUGAGGUAACGGCGCACCAAGGCGACGAUGCAUAGGCGACCUGAGAGGGUGAUCCGCAACACUGGGACUGAGACGCGGCACAGAAUCCUACGUGAGGCAGCAGGAGGGAAUAGUGCGCAAUGGACGAUAGUCUGACAUAGUCAGGACGAGUGUGUGAAGAAGGUCUUCGGAUGGUAAAGCUCUGCCGUCAGAGAAGCGGGAUAUGACCAGGAAGCAUCGGCGAACUACGUGCCAGCAGCCGCGGUAAUAC